GUUAUGAUAUUUUGCUAGCAUUUAUACUUUUAUUUUUUAUUUUAUGUAUUUAUUUUUCAGAUGGGGUCUCACUCUGUUGCCCAGGCUGGAGUGCAGCAGCAUGAUCUCAGCUCACUGCAGACUUACUUCCCAGGCUCAAGUAAUCCUCCUACCUCAGCCUUUCAAGUAGCUGAGACUAUAGGCUGGAGUCCAGUGGCACGAUCUCAGCUUACUACAACCUCCGUCUCCUGGGUUCAAGUGAUUCUCCUGUCCCAGCCUCCUGAGUAGCUGGGAUUACAGGUGCGUGCUACCACACUUGGCUAAUUUUUGUAUUUUUAGUAGAGAUGGGGUUUUGACAUGUUUGCCAGGCUGGUCUCGAACUGCUUACCUCAAGUGGGUCACUUGCCUUGGCCUCCCAAAGUGCUGGGAUUACAGGUGUAAGCCAUUGCACCCUGCUUACUCUUCAAAUUUUUGAAAGCAGUUCUCAUGCUCCUCUUCCCUGCUUUUGAUUAUGCUUAAAUUUGACCAGCAUGCCAGCCAUCCACAUCUUCAUCCAAAGUAUUAACAGAAAUAGCAUACAAGGACAAAGUCCUCCCAUCAAGAUCCUGUUGAGGCAGUAUACAUGGCCAUUGAGCAGGAGUGCACUGAUAUGAAUCUGCUGGAGGUUAAGUCUCAUCUCUAUUGAUUAGUAGCUAGAUGUGUGACUAUGGAAAAGUUAUUUAAUGAAUGUGUGCCUCAGCUUCCUUACCUGUAAGGUAAAGAGUAAUAAUACUCCCACAGAGUUGUAGUGAGAAUUAAAUGGAAUUAAAGCAUGUAAAGCAUUUAAUCUGAUGACUAACCCAUAGGAAGUGUUCAGUGUUAAUCAGUCGUUGAAUAUUCUUUGUUGUAAUGUUGUUGUUGUCGUUAGAGUCUUGCUCUGUUGCUCAGACUGGAGUACAGGGCAGUGGUGUGAUCGUGGCUUAUUGCAGCCUCAAACAUCUGGGCUAAAAUGAUCCUUCUACCUCAGCCUCCUGAAUAGCUAGAACUACAGAUGUGCAUCACCAUACACACCCAGUUAACUUUUAAAAAUUUUUGCAGAGAUGAGCGUCCUUCUCUAUUGUCCAGGUUGGUCUCAAACUCUUGACCUCAAGCAAUCCUCCCACCUUGGCCUCCCAAAGUGCUGGGAUUAAAUGUGUGAGCCGCUGUGCUUGGCUGAGUAUUCAUUAGGUGUACUUGUUCAAGGAGUUGUAUAUUCCCUGCUCUGUAGCUCAAUCAAUAACAUUAUGAUACUAUUUGUCAUAUGCCUUGAAAUUCUCUCAUAAUACACAUUUUACUCAAAAUAUUCUCUAAUGACCUCAUUUUUUUUUUUUUUUUUUUGAGACAGAGUCUUGCUCUGUCACCCAGGUUGGAGUGCAGUGGUGCGAUCUCAGCUCACUGCAACCUCCAUCUCCCAGGUUCAACUGAUUCUUCUGCCUCAGCCUCCUGAGUAGCUGGAAUUACAGGCACAUGCCACCACACCUGGCUAGUUUUUGUAUAUGUAUAUGUGUGUGUGUAUAUAUAUAUAUAUAUAUAUAUAUUUUUUUUUUAGUAGAGAUGGGGUUUCACCAUAUUGAUCAGGUUGUUCUCGAACUCCUGUCCUUGUGAUCCGCCAGCCUUGGCCUCCCAAAGUGUGUCUGGCCCUUUCUGUGUUUUUAAAAGACAACUGUCAGAACUCCAGAAGCCUGAGCUUUUUCUACCUUAAAUGUUCCCUUUGAAAUGACUGUAGGUACUUUCUGACUUAAGAGUUGAAAAAAUGUGUUAAAAAUUUAAUGCGACAAUGCAUGUAAACCACUUAUCACUGAAAUUGCCACAUCCAGUGCUUUCAAAAAUGUCAACUCAUUGUUAUUAAAAGUAUGACUACUCAUUUUUUUUUUAAAGAUGGGGUUUCACCAUGUUGGUCAGGCUGGUCUUGAACUCCUGACCUCAGGUGAUCCACCCACCUUGGCCUCCAAAGUGCUUGGAUUACAGGCGUGAGACACCACGCCUGGCCGACUACUCAUUUUUUUCAAAAGAGCUCAUUUGGUUACACUGGAUUUCUCAGUCAUGAAUAUACAGGAUAGUAAGACUCUCCUUUUGAAGAGGGGUUCAAAAUAUUUUAAACUAUAAGUGCAUCAGCCUGAGUUUCCUACAUGAGAGAAGUAUUUGGGUUGAAAAUCCCUAGAAAAGCCGCCAAGGGAGUCCAAGGAGGGGCUUAGGUGAUGCAGAGGAAGGGCCACUGUUAAGGGAUGGGGCUUGGAUACUGUAAAAAGCUGGGGCUGGCCUUGGUGUUCUAAAGCCUGAGAGAAGGAAGGCCUGAGUGAUAUAGGGAAUCAGAGCUCCACAGAGAGGUAAGAUUAGAGAGGUGUAAGACCGAGUGUUAAGCCUCAGUUUCCUGCUGACCCCGCACCUCUAGCAGUGUCACAGUGAGAGAAAGCAGAGCUGAGAGCUGCGCAGAUGCAGCAUGAACUUUCAGGUGUGCCGGGACCACCACUUCCAGAAGGCACGGCCGGCCCGGAGGACGCUGGGAAAUUUGACUUGGCGCUUUCUGCAGAUGUGCUUUAUUGCCCGCUGCAACUGGCCUUCUCCUGGGUAUUGGGAUCAGACCGUGGUGAGUCAGUAGAUGAAUGCAUGUACGAGUUAAUAAAUACACAGGGCUGACAGUCCAAUGGCAUCUUCUGAGGCACGGGUGCAAGAAGGGAUCUUGCCGGCCUCAGCCUUAUCCACCUGGAUCCCGGAGGUGGAGGUGGGACAGAGUAAGCCUCAGAGGCUGAAGGAGGUGAUAUGCGUGAUUCCAGCCUGCUGAAAAGACCAGUUCUAUUUUAUUCUGUUAUAUGAUAAAUCAGUGCCAUUAAGUACAUUCAUAAGAAAUGUUUACCCUUAAAAUAAAUUUUAAUAAUAACGUUGAAGUCUUACUGUGUUAUGGUGCAACACUACGAAUAAAAUUCAGAGUCCUUAUCUGGCUUACAAUGAGUUGCUUCAACCUUGCUGCAGGACUGGAAAGUAUUCCUUCUUUAAAACAGUAUCUGUUUUAAUUUGCAUUUUAUUUUCCUGGUGAUUAGUGAUGUUGGGCAUUUUUUCAUGUUUGUUGACCAUUUGUAUACUUUUUUUGAUAAAUUUCUGUUCAUGUGAUUUGCCCACGUUUUUCUGUUAAUUCUUUUGCUGUCCAGAAGCUUUUUUGUUUAAUUUGGUCCCAUUUUUUCAUUUUUGUUUUUGAUGCCUUUGCUUUUGGGGGCUUGUUGGUCACUAGUUGGUCUAAGUGCAGCAGAGAGCAUAUCACUCAGCCCAGAGAAAGGGUGAGAAUGCCUUUCACAAAGGGUAGUUGCAUCUUGUUAGAAAUAAGGUAUUGUAUGGAAAUUUACAUAUGUGUAGAAGGAUUAAUAGCCAGAAAGUGAACAGUGCAGAAUUUUAAACUAUGCCUAUUAGCAGCCAAUUUAUAGGAAUCUCAAGGGGCAGAGGAAUAUUUGAAGCUUAUCAUUUGUCAGCAAAACCAGGCAGUAGGAAAUGCUUCUGACUGUUAUAAGGAAACUUCAGACAAAUUAAAUUGAGCAAACUUUGAGUAAAGAAUGAUUCAUGAACUAUGCGGCCCACAGAACCAGAACAGGUUCAGAGUGACUCUGGGGCUGCCACAUGGUAAGAGAAUAUUUAUGUGCAGAAGAUGUAAGUGAGGUUUAGAAAUAGCUGAACUGGUCAUUGCUUGGUGUUUACCUUAUGUGAACAUGAUUUUAGCUGUUGGCACCCUAUGAUUGGUCAAAACCCUGUAAUUAGUACUGUAGCCAGAAAUUAGAGAUUUGGAGAGACCAAUGAGGGUUGCAGGAUAAUUUUUUUGAAUGUGAUUACAGGCUUAAUGGAAUUGCUUUCUAAUUUUGAGCAAAGGACAAAGAAAAUGGAGUGCCUUUUAUGCACCUAGUUGGUGCAAGAUGAUGAAGCUGGAAGCAGGUUUUACAGAAGCCAGAACAAAGAACAGUUUAUUAGUCUUGUGAUGCACUUUACAUUUCAAAAGUAACAUUUUGAAAACCACAUUUCGCAGUUUUGAGCCUAUUUGCUUUGUGACCUUGCAGCUGGUGAGCAAGAAACACAGGAACUUUUAGAUGCCUGGAAACUUUGCUAAGAAUGUAGGGAGGAUAGAUAAGGUUAAAUGGUUUACAGGGAGGCAGUUAAUAUUCUGCCUUAGACAGAGCUGGGGAGGUAUUGUAUUAAACAGCACACACUACCACAAAAUUUACUAUAUUAUUUAGCAACUAUAAAUUUUAAGGUUUUGUUUUUCUAUCAAU
rnacentral:lncRNA from 1 species